CCAAAGACCUGGAUCGAUAUGCAGAGACCUUCUGCCAGACCGCUGGAGGGAAUCUGGCUUCCAUCCAUUCAGCGAGGAACAUAAAAUUUAUCAGAGACUACAUUAACCAAGUGUCCACUACAAACAAUAUACCUGGAUCGGAGGCUUUGACGCAGUGAAGGAGGGUACGUGGUUGUGGUCUGAUGGAUCCAAAUUUGACU